ACGCCUAACACAUGCAAGUCGAACGAAGUAGCAAUACUUAGUGGCAGACGGGUGAGUAACAUGUGGGUAUCUACCCUUUGGCCUGGAAUAACACGAGGAAACUUGUGCUAAUACCGGAUAAGUUCUUUACGGAGAAAGCUUUAUGCACCAUUGGAUGAGCCCGCACUUGAUUAGUUUGUUGGUAGGGUAAUGGCCUACCAAGACUAUGAUCAAUAGCUGUAUUUGAGGAGGAUGAUCAGCCACAGUUGGGACUGAGACACCGGACCCAAACUCC
rnacentral:rRNA from 1 species